AUGAAGCGGCGUGCCACCAUGGACCCCCACCAGGAGCAGCCGGCGGAAAGCUACAAGAUCCAUGUGAAGAUGCUGAAAACAGUUGCCAUUGAUGUGAGCUGCACCGAUACAGUUGAUCAUAUUAAAACUAAAGUUAGUGCCAUUGAGGGGAUUGACAAAUGCUUGCAAGAGCUAUUCUUUUCUGGUAUUCACUUGAAGAAUGAUGACAAGCUUGCUGAUUACAACAUCAUGACAAACUCUUCUGUUGACCUUUUCGUCACUGAUGGGAUGCAAAUUUCUGUCAAGAUUCCCUCGGUUGGGAAGACCAUCAAUCUCAAUGUCAGGAAAUCCAACAAGGUGGCUGAUGUCAAAGCAGAGAUUGAACAAAAAGUGGGAAUUCUAAUGAACAACCAAAUCCUGAUGUAUGCAGGUCGACAGCUUGAGGACAAUCAGCUGUUAAGUCAGUGCGACUUGAGGAAUGAGCAGCCACUUCAUGUUUUGGUUAGCCCGGUUGACAAGCUGCGUAUUUUUGUCAAUGUUAGAGGUGAAAGAACUGUUAGUGUAAAUGUGAAAUGCUGGUAUACUGUUGCUGAUGUCAAGUUGAUGAUUGAGACAUCGGAGGACAUCAAAAGGCGUCAAAAUCCAUGA
rnacentral:rRNA from 1 species